rnacentral:rRNA from 1 species
UACGUAGGGUGCGAGCGUUGUCCGGAAUUACUGGGCGUAAAGAGCUCGUAGGUGGUUUGUCGCGUUGUUCGUGAAAUCUCACGGCUUAACUGUGAGCGUGCGGGCGAUACGGGCAGACUGGAGUACUGCAGGGGAGACCGGAAUUCCUGGUGUAGCGGUGGAAUGCGCAGAUAUCAGGAGGAACACCGGUGGCGAAGGCGGGUCUCUGGGCCGAUACUGACGCUGAGGAGCGAAAGCGUGGGGAGCGAACAGG